AAUGAACGCUGGCGGCGUGCUUAACACAUGCAAGUCGUGCGCGAAAGCGGCUUCGGCCGCGUGUAGAGCGGCGAACGGGUGAGUAACACGUGGACAACCUGCCCAAGAGUUGGGGAUAACCUGGGGAAACUCGGGCUAAUACCGAAUACGUUUCCGGGGCUUCGGCUUCGGAAGGAAAGAUGGCCUCUACUUGUAAGCCAUCGCUCCUGGAGGGUCCGCGCCUGAUUAGCUAGUUGGCGGGGUAACGGCCCACCAAGGCGACGAUCAGUAGCCGGCCUGAGAGGGUGAUCGGCCACACUGGAACUGAGACACGGUCCAGACUCCUACGGGAGGCAGCAGUGGGGAAUAUUGGACAAUGGGGGAAACCCUGAUCCAGCAACGCCGCGUGGAGGAUGAAGGUCUUCGGAUUGUAACCUCCUGUUA
rnacentral:rRNA from 1 species